rnacentral:rRNA from 1 species
AGAGUUUGAUCAUGACUCAAGAUUGAACGCUGGCGGCAGGCCUAACACAUGCAAGUCGAGCGCGAAAGCACUUCGGUGUGAGUAGAGCGGCGGACGGGUGAGUAACGCGUAAGAAUCUACCUAGUAGUGGGGGACAACUCGAGGAAACUCGAGCUAAUACCGCAUACGCCCUACGGGGGAAAGCGGGGGACCUUCGGGCCUCGCGCUAUUAGAUGAGCUUGCGUUGGAUUAGCUUGUUGGUGAGGUAAUGGCUCACCAAGGCUACGAUCCAUAGCUGGUCUGAGAGGAUGAUCAGCCACACCGGGACUGAGACACGGCCCGGACUCCUACGGGAGGCAGCAGUGGGGAAUAUUGCGCAAUGGGCGAAAGCCUGACGCAGCCAUGCCGCGUGUGUGAAGAAGGCCUUAGGGUUGUAAAGCACUUUCAAUUGGGAGGAAAAGUUAACGACUAAUACUCGUUAGCCUUGACGUUACCUUUAGAAGAAGCACCGGCUAACUCCGUGCCAGCAGCCGCGGUAAUACGGAGGGUGCAAGCGUUAAUCGGAAUUACUGGGCGUAAAGCGCGCGUAGGCGGCUUUUUAAGUCGGAUGUGAAAGCCCCGGGCUCAACCUGGGAACUUGCAUCCGAUACUGGAAGGCUAGAGUGCGAGAGAGGG